rnacentral:rRNA from 1 species
UACAGAGGUCUCGAGCGUUAGGCGGAAUCACUGGGCUUAAAGCGUGUGUAGGUGGAUGCCUAAGUACCUUGUGAAAUCCCACAGCUUAACUGUGGAACUGCUUGGUAUACUGGGUGUCUUGAGUCACUCAGGGGCGAGCGGAACAAAUGGUGGAGCGGUGAAAUGCGUAGAUAUCAUUUGGAACGCCAAUGGUGAAAACAGGUAGCUGGGAGUGUGCUGACGCUGAGACACGAAAGCCAGGGGAGCAAACGGG